rnacentral:rRNA from 1 species
UACAGAGGUCUCAAGCGUUGUUCGGAUUCAUUGGGCGUAAAGGGUGCGUAGGUGGCGGGGUAAGUCAGGUGUGAAAUCUCGGAGCUCAACUCCGAAACUGCACUUGAUACUGCCUUGCUAGAGUACUGGAGAGGAGAUUGGAAUUUACGGUGUAGCAGUGAAAUGCGUAGAUAUGACAUAGAACACCAAUUGCGAAGGCAGCUCACUAAGCAGGUAUUGACGCUGAGGCACGAAAGCGUGGGGAUCAAACAGG